rnacentral:lncRNA from 1 species
CCGCAGGUCGAACGGGUUCGUGUCGUAGGCCUUCCACCCGUCGAAGUACGAUGAAUUCUCGCCGUGGUCAUCGCCUGCGGCUUUCGUCGAGAGAAGGUCGAUGCCCUGGUACGCCAUUGAUUUGGUGUCGGACUCCGAGGAUAUCCGAAGCCCGGACCCUGGCUGGAACGCGAGCAGCCGAGCAGGUAGCUACUCUACCUGCCUAGCCACGCAAGGAUGAUCGGACAGACCCCCACAAGAAAAAAAAAAGGAUGAUCGGACAGACAACG